rfam:Hepatitis C virus (isolate JFH-1) genomic RNA, complete genome.
GUCCCUCAUCUCCCGUGGAGGGAAAGCGGCCGUUUGCGGCCGAUAUCUCUUCAAUUGGGCGGUGAAGACC